UCAAGCAAAUAAGGGCACAGGGUGGAUGCCAAGGCGCCAAGAGCCGACGAAGGACGUGGCAAGCUGCGAAAAGUUACGGGGAGCCGCAAGCAGGCAUUGAGCCGUAAAUAUCCGAAUGGGGAAACCCAGCGGGGGUAACGCCCCGUUACCAUGGGAUGAAUACAUAGUCCCAUAGGAGGGCACCCGGGGAAGUGAAACAUCUGAGUACCCGGAGGAAAAGAAAGUAAAAACGAUUCUCUUAGUAGCGGCGAGCGAAAAGGGAAGAGCCUAAACCGAUUCUCUACGGAGAGUCGGGGUUGAGGGUCAGCGACAUGGAUUUCCAAAGUCGAGCUGAACACGCCUGGGAAGGCGGGCCAGAGCGGGUGAUAGCCCCGUAAGCGAAGACAGAGGGACCUAGCUGAUACCAGAGUACCGCAGGACACGUGAAAUCCGGCGGGAAGCAGGGGGGACCACCCUCCAAGGCUAAAUACAUCUUGGCGACCGAUAGCGAAUAGUACCGUGAGGGAAAGGUGAAAAGAACCCCGGGAGGGGAGUGAAAUAGAACCUGAAACCCUGUGUUUACAAGCAGAGAGAGCGCGAGUUAUGCGCGAUCUCGUACUUUUUGUAGAACGGACCUGCGAGUUGCGUUUUCAAGCGAGGUUAAGUUCUUCUGGAACGAAGCCGAAGGGAAACCGAGUCUGAAGAGGGCGUAUAGUUUGAGGACGCAGACCCGAAACCGGGUGACCUAUCCAUGGGCAGGCUGAAGAGGUGGUAAAGCAUCUUGGAGGGCCGAACCAGACGUCUGUUAAAAAAGGCGGGGAUGACCUGUGGAUAGGGGAGAAAUUCCAAUCGAACUCGGAUAUAGCUGGUUCUCCUCGAAAUAGCUUUAGGGCUAGCCUCGCGUAUGCGCGAUGGAGGUAGAGCACUGAAUGGGCUAGGGGGCCACAAAGCUUACCGAACCCUAUCAAACUGCGAAUGCCAUCGAGUUAAAGCGCGGGAGUCAGUCCGUGGGAGAUAAGUUUCACGGGCAAAAGGGGAACACCCCAGAUCAGCCGCUAAGGCCCCUAAGUGCAAGUUAAGUGGGAAAGGAUGUUCAGUUGCGCAGACAACCAGGAUGUUGGCUUAGAAGCAGCCACACAUUCAAAGAGUGCGUAAUAGCUCACUGGUCGAGUGACUGAGCGCCGAAGAUGUCCGGGGCUAAAACUUGCCGCCGAAGCGCUGGGAUUUGACUGUAAAGUUGAAUCGGUAGAGGAGCAAUGUCACAGGGACGAAGCCGUAGCGUAAGCCGCGGUGGACAUGUGACAAGAGAGAAUGCAGGUAUGAGUAGCGAGAGCCGUGCGAGAAACACGGCGGUCGAAAGCCCAAGGUUUCCUGGGGAAGGUUCAUCCGCCCAGGGUAAGUCGGGACCUAAGGCGAGGACAGUAGUCGUAGCCGAUGGACAGCUGGUCUAAAAUUCCAGCACCGCCAAGGAAUGACGCAGUGACACAGGAGGAUAGCCCGAGCGGGGUGAUGGUCAACCCCGUGCAAGCAGUGAGGUUUUGCGGCAGUUAAGUACACCGCAUAUAAGAUUGAGCUGUGACGCGGAGCGAAAAUAAGUAGCGAAGCGGGUGAAUUCACACUGGCGAGAAAAGCUGCUAGUAUAUCCUAAUGGCGCCCGUACCGCAAUCCGACGCAGGUGGGCGAGGAGAGAAUCCUAAGACGAACGGGAGAACCCUUGUUAAGGAACUCGGCAAAAUGGCCCCGUAACUUCGGGAGAAGGGGCGCCUUGAUAGAGAUAUUGAGGCCGCAGAGAAUAGGCCCAAGCGACUGUUUAGCAAAAACACAGGUAUCUGCGAAAGCGAGAGCUGACGUAUAGGUGCUGACGCCUGCCCGGUGCUGGAAGGUUAAGGGGAGUGGUUAGGGGUAACCCAAAGCUGUAAACCGAAGCCCCAGUAAACGGCGGCCGUAACUAUAACGGUCCUAAGGUAGCGAAAUUCCUUGUCGGGUAAGUUCCGACCCGCACGAAUGGCGUAACGACUUGGGCGCUGUCUCAACAGGGGACCCGGUGAAAUUGAAGUAUGUGUGAAGAUGCACAUUACCCGCGACUGGACGGAAAGACCCCGUAGAGCUUUACUGUAACCUGACAUUGGAUUCUAGCAACGGAUGUACAGGAUAGGUGGGAGACGAAGAAGCGAGGGCGUCAGCCUUCGUGGAGUCAACGUUGGGAUACCACUCUUCUGUUGCCGGAAUUCUAACAUGACGCCGUAAGCCGGCGAAUGGACAGUAUCAGGCGGGCAGUUUGACUGGGGCGGUCGCCUCCGAAAGAGUAACGGAGGCGCCCAAAGGUUCCCUCAGAAUGGAUGGAAACCAUUCGCAGAGUGUAAAGGCACAAGGGAGCUUGACUGCGAGAGCGACAACUCGAGCAGGGACGAAAGUCGGGCUUAGUGAUCCGGCGGCAUAGCGUGGAAUAGCCGUCGCUCAACGGAUAAAAGCUACCUCGGGGAUAACAGGCUGAUCUCCCCCAAGAGUCCACAUCGACGGGGAGGUUUGGCACCUCGAUGUCGGCUCGUCGCAUCCUGGGGCUGAAGUCGGUCCCAAGGGUUUGGCUGUUCGCCAAUUAAAGCGGCACGCGAGCUGGGUUCAGAACGUCGUGAGACAGUUCGGUCCCUAUCCAUCGUGGGCGUUGGAACCAUGAGAGGAGCUGUUCCUAGUACGAGAGGACCGGAAUGGACGUACCUCUGGUGCAACUGUUGUCGUGCCAACGGCAUAGCAGGGAAGCGAAGUACGGACGGGAUAAACGCUGAAGGCAUCUAAGCGUGAAGCCCACCUCAAGAUUAUGGUUCCCUUCGCGAGAGCGAGAAAGACCCCUGGCGGACUACCAGGUUGAUCGGUCAUCGGUGCAAGUGUGGUAACGCGCUUAGCUUGAUGAUACGAAUAGGUCGAGGGCUUGAUCU
rnacentral:rRNA from 1 species